ACAAGCGGUGGAGCAUGUGGUUUAAUUCGAUGCAACGCGAAGAACCUUACCUGGUCUUGACAUCCACGGAAGACUGCAGAGAUGCGGUUGUGCCUUCGGGAACCGUGAGACAGGUGCUGCAUGGCUGUCGUCAGCUCGUGUUGUGAAAUGUUGGGUUAAGUCCCGCAACAAGCGCAACCCUUAUCCUUGUUGCCAGCGGUCCGGCCGGGAACUCAAAGGAGACUGCCAGUGAUAAACUGGAGGAAGGUGGGGAUGACGUCAAGUCAUCAUGGCCCUUACGACCAGGGCUACACACGUGCUACAAUGGCAUAUACAAAGAGAAGCGACCUCGCGAGAGCAAGCGGACCUCAUAAAGUAUGUCGUAGUCCGGAUUGGAGUCUGCAACUCGACUCCAUGAAGUCGGAAUCGCUAGUAAUCGUGGAUCAGAAUGCCACGGUGAAUACGUUCCCGGGCCUU
rnacentral:rRNA from 1 species